GCCUGGGUUUGGAUUUUUGGAAGGCUUAUGCCCCUGGGUCUCACAUAGUGUCCCAUGCCAGAGCAAACUGUAGCCCUGAAACAUUGUCUGAUGUUUCCCUGCAGGCUGCUGGCACUGAAGUGGGUUGCACCGUG
ensembl:snoRNA